rnacentral:rRNA from 1 species
UACGUAGGGUGCAAGCGUUGUCCGGAAUUAUUGGGCGUAAAGAGCUCGUAGGCGGCCUGUUGCGUCUGCUGUGAAAUCCCAGGGCUUAACCCUGGGCCUGCAGUGGAUACGGGCAGGCUGGAGGCAGGCAGGGGAGAACGGAAUUCCCGGUGUAGCGGUGAAAUGCGUAGAUAUCGGGAGGAAUACCAGUGGCGAAGGCGGCCUCUGGACGGAUACUGACGCUGAGGCGCGAAAGCGUGGGGAGCGAACAGG